rnacentral:rRNA from 1 species
UACGAAGGGGGCUAGCGUUGCUCGGAAUGACUGGGCGUAAAGGGCGCGUAGGCGGUUCGUACAGUCGGAUGUGAAAUUCCCGGGCUCAACCUGGGGGCUGCAUUCGAUACGUACGGGCUUGAGGCCGGGAGAGGGUAGUGGAAUUCCCAGUGUAGCGGUGAAAUGCGUAGAUAUUGGGAGGAACACCAGUGGCGAAGGCGGCUACCUGGACCGGUUCUGACGCUGAGGCGCGAAAGCGUGGGUAGCAAACAGG